rnacentral:lncRNA from 1 species
GCUGGCACAGGAACUUGGGAUCUGUCUCCUCUUUCGCCUCCUGCACCUUGGGAGCCCCGGGCUACUCUCUCACAGCCCUUGUUGCCCUGCGAUCUGUAGGUCCUUGGGGACGCAUAGUUAAGGUGCCAGGACAUCCUGGAAGCUGGGAAAUGAUUGUUGCAGUGUCAGGACCAAGGUCAAAUGAGUUAUAGCCAAGUCUACAGUAAGAUGUGGCAGUAUUCUGUUUUGAAGCCGGGACCAGGAUUGGCAAGCUUGCCACUUGGUAAAGUGCUCACCCUCUGAAGAUGUCUUCCUUGGUCUUUGCCUCCAGCUGGGUGUCACAAACUCUGAACUGGAUUCCAAGGCUUUCAUGAAUGCACUUAUGUUUGCUGUGGCAGCUGCAUUAUGUCGUGGGGGAUGUGGAUGCAGAACCUCACAUUCUGUCGUCUUGCUUAUGUUACUCUCCUUUAUGUUUCACUUUCUCAAAUGAAUGUCAAGCAGGUGAUUUUCAGAUUCAAAAGUUCUAAAAUAAAU